UGCUAGUUGUGCGCUCCCUAGCUAUGUUGGGAGAGCAGCGAACGGCUCAGUAACACGUAGUCAACCUGCCCUUAGUACGGACAUACUCCCGGGAAACUGGGUCUAAUAUCCGAUAGAUGGAAAAGCCUGGAAUGGUUUUCCAUUGAAAGGUUCUUGAGAACAUGCUCUCAGGAAUGACUAAGGAUGGGACUGCGUCCGAUCAGGUAGUAGGUGGGGUAACGGCCUACCAAGCCGAUAACCGGUACGGGCCCUGAGAGGGGGAGCCCGGAGAUGGAAACUGAGACAAGGUCCCAGGCCCUACGGGGCGCAGCAGGCGCGAAACCUCCACAAUGCGCGAAAGCGUGAUGGGGUUACCCCGAGUGCCGUCCGAUGAGGAUGGCUUUUCCUCGGUGUACAAAGCCGGGGGUAAUAAAGGGGGGGUAAGACUGGUGCCAGCCGCCGCGGUAAUACCAGCCCCCUGAGUGAUAGGGACGAUUAUUUAGCCUAGAGCGUUCGUAGCCGGCUUAUCAAGUCUUUUGUUAAAUCCAACGAUUCAAUCGUUGGGCCGCAAAAGAUACUGUUAUGCUAGAGGACGGGAGAGGUCGACGGUAGUCCAGGGGUAGGGGUGAAAUCCUAUAAUCCUUGGAGGACCGCCAGUGGCGAAGGCGGUCGACUAGAACGUGCCUGACGGUGAGGGACGAAAGCUGGGGGAGCGAACCGGAUUAGAUACCCGGGUAGUCCCAGCUGUAAACGAUGC
rnacentral:rRNA from 1 species